UGUUAAUAUGUUUUUCUAGAGUUGUGACUUUAGCAAUAUUUUUCUUCUCUCAGCCUUAUACUCCCUCAACAAUCAUCUGCACAAUGAGGUUCACAAGCUUGCUGCAAAAUUCAAGAAAAGUUAUGUGUGGGAGUUAUCACUAAACAAAUGACUGCAAUAGAAGAAAUGGUUGCAAGUGAGUACAAUUAGCCAGACCCUCAUCUUUGUGACAAGAUCUUGAAGUUGGUCAUUUGUGAAGCGUUCUACUUUGCUAUUAGUUGCAGUUUUAAUUAUUGUUCUCUCAAUAUAUUCUUUUUCUUUCUUUCUUUCUUUGUUUCCAAAGGAUGAUCAGUGUAAUAAUUAAGCUUCAUAAUUUCUGUGUUUGGAUCCAAGUUGUAUAUAAAUGUCACAUUAUUAAGAUUUCAUUUUGUAUAUGUACAAGUAAAAGAUUUCAUUUUUAA